CUGAUAAAAAACAGCUUAAGAUGGUUUGCUGGUUUAUGGUGGUAGUAGCUGGUUUAAGGUGGUCCUCCCAGCUUGGCAAAUCUGGUGAAGCUGGUGGGUCAGAUGGUCGUCCAGCUAAAUCCAGUUUGGAUAGCUUUAAAAUUGACCAUAAACAAAUAUAGACAAGUUUGCUAAACCAGCUGGGAGAUUUAGCAAUCUGCAACUCUGCAUAAACUUUACAUCUCAAAAAGUACCUUGUCACGUGACGCACCUGAUGACAUAACUCGUCUUUACAACACGUAUGUAAUGUUUUUGGUGUUUUUAGAAUAAAUAAAACAGUGCUGUCCCUGCUGUUUCAAUGUAUUGUAAAUAUCAGAUGAUUCAAGAUGGUGAAAGAGGUCAGAUUUCCUGAUGGUUGAUUGUUAUUGCGCUCUCGGAUGUCACACGAGACCGUAUCACGGUGACUAAGCACUUUAUAUUAACCGUAUGACUUUAUCAGCUCACGUUAAGUCGGUGAUCUCAUCGGUGUUGCUGUGCGAUUGCAGUAUGCUGAAUCACAUCAAUCAGUUUCUUUAUCUGACACGAGAGGGCGCUGUGAGCCGCGAGACAAACACAACAUCCGGCGUCACUUCCAGGAACAGCGGCCACUUUUCCCGUUAAAAAUAGAAACUGAGGAAGCGGUAUUCCCAGGACACACUGAGGCAGACCGUGAAUCAAACUUGAAAGAGAAGGGAAACCGCGCGAAAUGUCGGCCAAUCACAGCUCAGUACGACAGCUGGCGGAGGAUACUACAAUGGCGUACAGUUCUGACAAAGGGUUUGGCCAUCACUCAUCACCUUUAUUUUGCUUCCCAUUGAAGAAAUGGCAAAGAUCUCACAGGUUUGGAGAGAAAUACAUGCUAAGAGAAAUGACAGGACAGAGGGACAAACAUUUGUCCAGAUGAGCUGCAGUAACAGGCUUUUGUUUAGACAGGAGCGUCUCUCUGCAGGGAACAAGGUGACAGGGAAUUAAACAUCACCUGACUUUACUGUACGCUCCGUGGGUGCUGUGACAUCUUCAAGACCACUGAAGCAUCUAACCACCUGCCUGCAGUCAUGCAUUUACACCUUUGCAGUUUACUCAUAUCACGCUUGAAAACACCCCCCCACCUCACCCGUUUCUCCACAGGGCAAAACAAUGUAAAGCCCCCUCGACAGAGAGAGAAAGAGGGAUGGAAUGAGCGAGCGAGCGAGUGAGAGAGUGAGUCAUGAGUGCAGCUUUGAACAACAAGGGGAAAUCCUCCUAUUGAUCGACAUGCGCUGUGGAAACAUGCAUCAUUCACACAGCUUGUAAAACCAAGGACAUUUACUAAAAUAACUCCAAAUGGAUUUGAAAGUUGAUGGACAUAUGCAUCUCGGAUUGCUUGAGGACAAGAUGUCAGGUGUGAAAUUCCUGCAAAGCUGUCAAAAACCAAUAAGUGAAGGGCAGUUUGUGAGAAGAUGGGACUGUUUUAUUCUCUGAUGGCUGUUUGCUCUAAAUCAAGAGAUUGACUGUAUGAAAUAGAAAAACAUGGUGGGACGGAUGUACACGGCAAGAUAAGCAUAAGGUGCACAAAGGAUAUAUUCACACGCUGUCAUCGGCAGGUGAAAAAAACUGAUGAGAGCCUGACCCAGGGGUGACACAAGUCUGCACCAAACCAUUGGUUUAAAAUAGGCGCCAUCUUUUCAUAGAUGUUCCCAAGAACGUUCGACCUGUAACCUCGCUGACUCAGGCCGGACUCCCCACGUCAGAUCUACCACAAGGUGUUGUAAGAGAGAUUCACAAUGGCAUGUCGUGGUUUUACUGUUCACCCUGAUAAUAUUGUCGUCUUUAGUGAGGGGUGCGGGGCAGGGGGACGAGGGAGAUAAGACACCUCACAAUGUUCUCAGCAGGCAAUUGCACGUUGCUACGUAAGCAGCCACAAGUUUCUUUAGAAGUGUUUGGUAUGUGUCGGGGGGUUGGGUAUGUGUUGGAUGGUCGCCUGUAAUUUGGUGAUAGGAACUCCUUUAAACUGAGAACUUGCUCUCUUUAUCACAGGGGUCCUAAUGAAGAUCAUUUGUUGAUGCUUUAACAUAUCUUUAUAGUCACAGACUGUAACUGAUGCUUCAAUGAAAGAAAGAAAUUCAUAGAGAACCCCCAUAUUGAUAUUUACUCAUCUUUGUUUGUGACCAAUUUGUGUCCAUUUAAGGUGGUUAACUUCUUCUUUAGACAGGACAGUAAGAUAUAUUUAAACAUCAAAGAGUGCACAGAAGUCACUCUUUUAUAGGUUUCUAAACUAAAACAAUAAAACAAGUCAAUCAUUUCAACAUAAGGGAGUCUUGGGGCAUGUAAAAAGUUUGAAAAGUUUUUAAUUGAACAUUUCAUCUGAAUGCUCACUCUUUGGAUAAAAGCAUAAAUGAAUGAAUAAAUGUUU